rnacentral:rRNA from 1 species
AUGGCACUCUCACAACAAACUGACAUUCACACAGACAGCAUCACGUGCAGAGAGUACAAACCAUGCCACCGACACACCCAUCAUCUCUCAAAAAAAACCAAACGAGACCAAAUCACACAAACUCAAAGCGCAUGGGGAGCUUGCUCCCCUUGCGGUCCAACAGCGCCACCGCGCGGAUCCAGGGCUGCAGCUCCGACACCGGCAGCACCGUCUGCCCCGCAAAGUCGUUCUUCUCCGACAUGUCGUACUCAUGCGCCUCCACCCGCAGCAGGGCCAGCUCCGGCACCGUCAGGUCUUCUUCAUCAGGGAGUCUGCCGGAACGCCGGCAAUCCCGACCCGCUUCAGCCAAUGGAUGCUGCUUUAGGUUAUUGUUACUGA